GGGGCUAUAGCUCAGUGGUAGAGCACUUGCCUUGCAUGUGUGAGGCCCUGGGUUCAAUCCCCAGCACCA
rnacentral:tRNA from 1 species